rnacentral:rRNA from 1 species
UACGAAGGGGGCUAGCGUUGCUCGGAAUCACUGGGCGUAAGGCGCACGUAGGCGGAUCGCUAAGUCAGGGGUGAAAUCCUGGAGCUCAACUCCAGAACUGCCUUUGAUACUGGCAAUCUCGAGUCCGGGAGAGGUGAGUGGAACUGCGAGUGUAGAGGUGAAAUUCGUAGAUAUUCGCAAGAACACCAGUGGCGAAGGCGGCUCACUGGCCCGGUACUGACGCUGAGACGCGAAAGCGUGGGGAGCGAACAGG